UCUAUUGACAGAUUGUCCCUUUUCUGGUAUGGGUUUUGUAAACCUCAGGAGCUGUAAUGUUCUUGUUUGAAGGCAAUUUUGGUAAUAUCUUGCACAUAGGAGAUUGCAGACUCACGGCUGAGUGUGUACAAAGUUUACCAAAGAAGUUUGUUGCCAAGAAAGGAAAAGUACCAAGGUGUCAACUUGAUUAUGUUUUCCUAGACUGCACAUUUGGGAGAUUUCGUCAGAACCUUCCCAGCAAGCACUCAGCAAUCCAACAGGUUAUUAAUUGUAUAUGGCAGGAUCCUGAUGCCCUUGUGGUUUAUCUGACCUGUGACCUUCUUAGCCAGGAAGAAAUUCUGGCAAAUGUGUCCCAAACAUUUGGGUCCAAGAUCUAUGUUGAUAAAGCCUCUAAUCCAGAGUGUUUCCAAGCUCUAACCCUAACAUUUCCUGACAUUAUCUCUGAAGAUUCCUCGUCCCACUUCCAGGUAUUAGAUGGAUUUCCUAAACUAUAUGAAAGAGCAAAAGCAAAGCUUUUGGAGGCCCAAGCUCACUGCCAGCCUACCCCUCUCAUAAUCCGCCCAUCAGCACAGUGGUAUGCAUGUGAGGAAGAGUUCUUGGAGAAUGAAAGUCAAAGAAAACUGAGAAUGAAUGAGGCAGUAAGGGACCAAUUUGGUGUUUGGCAUGUUUGUUACUCCAUUCACUCAUCCAAGGAAGAAUUAGAAUGGGCCCUGCAACUUCUUGUGCCGAAAGGGGUUGUUUCAACAACCCGCAGUUGCAGGGCCAUGGAGCUAGAUUUUGUUAAGAAACACUGCUUUGGCAAUCAAGUAGCUCCAAAUGACCCUAUCUGGAAGCUUCUUGAUAUUUCCACAGAAGGUUCUCCAGAUUUGGAUGUAUCCGUCAAAGGUGUUAGUGGUUCUCCUAUGGUUGAAGAGCACACCCAAACUUAUGCUCAACCUCAAUUUGAACCAGUAAAAGUAUCUACUGGCCUAAAAGGACUUAUAAAAUUGUCCCCUCCAAGCAAAAAAGUGACAUUAUUUGGAAGAGCGAGACUUGGUCUCCAAGAUUUUAGUUUUUCACAUGAAGGUCCAAUAGUUGCAUCUAUCAACAAUAACCCUCCACAAAUAUCUGCCAGCAAAGUAGAAGAAUUCUCAUUCCAGGAGGAAACUGAAGUGAAAUGCCAUAAGUCAGAAAGCAAGACAGGAGCUGGCAGAACCAUCAAUAAGAGAUGCAUUUGUUUCUUGCAUUCAACAAGGUGCAGAUCGUGUGAUUGUAAGCCCAUUUUUUCUCUUCCCUGGACGACACUGGCAUCAGGAUAUUCCUUCGUUAGCUGCUGAAGCUGCAAAAGAACACCCUAAUGUGUCAUAUAUCGUUACUGCACCUCUUGGUCUGCAUGAUCUACUUGUGGUGCCUUGAUAAAGCCGCUGUAGUGUCAGAUGUUGAGAGCAAAAGUGAGGAAUUCUCCAAUCCAUGGAGGCUUUGCACUGUAACACAGGUGGAAGAAUUGAAGAUUUUGAUCCGCAUGUUUCCAAUCUGGGCUACUGGAAUUGUCUUUUCUGCUGUUUAUGCCCAGAUGUGUACAAUGUUUGUGGAGCAAGGAAUGAUGAUGGACACAAGCAUUGGUUCUUUCACCAUUCCCGCAGCCUCUCUCUCAUCCUUUGAUGUCAUCAGUUUUAUUUUUUGGGUCCCCAUGUAUGAUAGGGUAAUUAUUCCAAUUGCAAGGAAAUUUAUUGGCAAGGAGCGAGAUUGUAUGACAAGGUUUAUAUUAUGAGAUUUGUAUUACUGGAAAGGUUUGCUCUGUAGAAAUUUGUAUUACAAGAUUUAUAUUAUGAGAUUGUAGGAUCUGCAUUUACAAAGUUGGACAGUAAUGCUCUUGGUGUAUUUCAUAA